UGCCGGAGCUGUACUCGGACAGCUCCCAGGAAAGCGUCACGCGCCGCACG
rnacentral:SRP_RNA from 1 species